GCCCACGACACCUUGCUUAGCCACACCCCCAAGGGAACUCAGCAGUGAUAGACAUUAAGCCAUAAGUGAAAACUUGACUUAGUCAAAGCUAAGAGGGCCGGUAAAACUCGUGCCAGCCACCGCGGUUAUACGAGAGACCCAAGUUGAUAGACCUCGGCGUAAAGCGUGGUUAGGAAAGAACUAAAACUAAAGCCGAACACCUUCAGAACUGUUAUACGUAUCCGAAGGUAAGAAGUUCAACUACGAAAGUGGCUUU
rnacentral:rRNA from 1 species